rnacentral:rRNA from 1 species
UGGGGAAUUUUGGACAAUGGGCGAAAGCCUGAUCCAGCAAUGCCGCGUGUGUGAAGAAGGCCUUCGGGUUGUAAAGCACUUUUGUCCGGAAAGAAAUCCUUGGCUCUAAUACAGUCGGGGGAUGACGGUACCGGAAGAAUAAGCACCGGCUAACUACGUGCCAGCAGCCGCGGUAAUACGUAGGGUGCAAGCGCUAAUCGGAAUUACUGGGCGUAAAGCGUGCGCAGGCGGUUUGCUAAGACCGAUGUGAAAUCCCCGGGCUCAACCUGGGAACUGCAUUGGUGACUGGCAGGCUAGAGUAUGGCAGAGGGGGGUAGAAUUCCACGUGUAGCAGUGAAAUGCGUAGAGAUGUGGAGGAAUACCGAUGGCGAAGGCAGCCCCCUGGGCCAAUACUGACGCUCAUGCACGAAAGCGUGGGGAGCAAACAGGAUUAGAUACCCUGGUAGUCCACGCCCUAAACGAUGUCAACUAGUUGUUGGGGAUUCAUUUCCUUAGUAACGUAGCUAACGCGUGAAGUUGACCGCCUGGGGAGUACGGUCGCAAGAUUAAAACUCAAAGGAAUUGACGGGGUCAUAGCUGUUUCCU